GGCGGACGGGUGAGUAACACGUGGGUAACCUGCCUGUAAGACUGGGAUAACUCCGGGAAACCGGAGCUAAUACCGGAUAGUUCCUUGAACCGCAUGGUUCAAGGAUGAAAGACGGUUUCGGCUGUCACUUACAGAUGGACCCGCGGCGCAUUAGCUAGUUGGUGGGGUAAUGGCUCACCAAGGCGACCAUGCGUAGCCGACCUGAGAGGGUGAUCGGCCACACUGGGACUGAGACACGGCCCAGACUCCUACGGGAGGCAGCAGUAGGGAAUCUUCCGCAAUGGACGAAAGUCUGACGGAGCAACGCCGCGUGAGUGAUGAAGGUUUUCGGAUCGUAAAGCUCUGUUGUUAGGGAAGAACAAGUGCGAGAGUAACUGCUCGCACCUUGACGGUACCUAACCAGAAAGCCACGGCUAACUACGUGCCGCAGCCGCGGUAAUACGUAGGUGGCAAGCGUUGUCCGGAAUUAUUGGGCGUAAAGGGCUCGCAGGCGGUUUCUUAAGUCUGAUGUGAAAGCCCCCGGCUCAACCGGGGAGGGUCAUUUGGAAACUGGGAAACUUGAGUGCAGAAGAGGAGAGUGGAAUUCCCCGUGUAGCGGCGAAAUGCGUAGAGAUGUGGAGGAACACCAGUGGCGAAGGCGACUCUCUGGUCUGUAACUGACGCUGAGGAGCGAAAGC
rnacentral:rRNA from 1 species